rnacentral:rRNA from 1 species
UACGUAGGGUGCAAGCGUUGUCCGGAAUUAUUGGGCGUAAAGAGCUCGUAGGCGGUUUGUCGCGUCCGCUGUGAAAACCCGGGGCUUAACCCCGGGCCUGCAGUGGAUACGGGCAGGCUGGAGGCAGGCAGGGGAGAACGGAAUUCCCGGUGUAGCGGUGAAAUGCGCAGAUAUCGGGAGGAACACCGAUGGCGAAGGCAGGUCUCUGGGCAUUAACUGACGCUGAGGAGCGAAAGCAUGGGGAGCGAACAGG